AACACUGUUAACCUGCGGUACCUGCGGAAGGAUCAUUACCGAGUUUACAACUCCCAAACCCCUGUGAACAUACCUAUACGUUGCCUCGGCGGAUCAGCCCGCGCCCCGUAAAACGGGACGGCCCGCCCGAGGACCCUAAACUCUGUUUUUAGUGGAACUUCUGAGUAAAACAAACAAAUAAAUCAAAACUUUCAGCAACGGAUCU
rnacentral:misc_RNA from 1 species